GUUCUGUCGAAGGACUUGCUUAUCACAGAGCCUGGGAUACACUGUACUGGACCAGUUCCACUACCUCAUCCAUCACCAGACACACAGUGGACCAGACUCGGCCAGGAGCAUUUGACAGGGAAGCAGUCAUUGCCAUGUCAGAAGAUGACCACCCACAUGUGCUAGCCCUGGAUGAAUGCCAAAACUUAAUGUUUUGGACCAACUGGAAUGAACAGCAUCCAAGUAUCAUGAGAUCCACCCUAACGG